rnacentral:rRNA from 1 species
AUUGAACGCUGGCGGCAUGCCUUACACAUGCAAGUCGAACGGUAACGCGGGGCAACCUGGCGACGAGUGGCGAACGGGUGAGUAAUGCAUCGGAACGUGCCCAGUAGUGGGGGAUAGCCCGGCGAAAGCCGGAUUAAUACCGCACACGACCUACGGGUGAAAGCGGGGGACCGUAAGGCCUCGCGCUAUUGGAGCGGCCGAUGUCAGAUUAGGUUGUUGGUGGGGUAAAAGCCUACCAAGCCGACGAUCUGUAGCUGGUCUGAGAGGAGGACCAGCCACACUGGGACUGAGACACGGCCCAGACGCCUACGGGAGGCAGCAGUGGGGAAUUUUGGACAAUGGGGGCAACCCUGAUCCAGCCAUGCCGCGUGCGGGAAGAAGGCCUUCGGGUUGUAAACCGCUUUUGUCAGGGAAGAAACGCUCUGGGCUAAUACCCCGGGGUAAUGACGGUACCUGAAGAAUAAGCACCGGCUAACUACGUGCCAGCCGCCGCCGUAACAC